rnacentral:rRNA from 1 species
UACGUAGGGGGCGAGCGUUGUCCGGAAUGAUUGGGCGUAAAGGGCGCGUAGGCGGCCUGAUAAGUCUGGAGUGAAAGUCCUGCUUUCAAGGUGGGAAUUGCUUUGGAUACUGUCGGGCUGGAGUGCAGGAGAGGUAAGCGGAAUUCCCGGUGUAGCGGUGAAAUGCGUAGAGAUCGGGAGGAACACCAGUGGCGAAGGCGGCUUACUGGACUGUAACUGACGCUGAGGCGCGAAAGCGUGGGGAGCAA